UGGCCCCCCCCGGACCCCCCCGACCCCUCCGUGCGCUGCCUGCCGGACCCCAACAGCUGCCCCCCAAGUCCACCCCACGGAGGCGCCAUCACCCCACACCCACCCGGAGGGGACAACGGGGGACAGCGGCCGCCCCACGGAUCCAUAUGGGGCCGUCGUGACCCACAGCUGCCCCAUAAGUUGGGGGGACAAUGAGAGACAUCAUGGCCACCACGUCAACCCCAUUGGGACCCCAAUAUGGCCUUGGGUCUGCCCCAUAGAUCCCUAUGGGGCCGUCGUGACCCACGGCUGCCCCAUAAGUUGGGGGGACAAUGAGAGACAUCAUGGCUGCCAUGUCAACCCCAUUGGGACCCCAAUAUGGCCUUGGGGUCUGCCCCAUAGAUCCCUAUGGGGCCAUCGUGACCCACAGCUGCCCCAUAAGUUGGGGAGACGACGAGGGACAUCAUGGCCGCCAUGUCGACCCCAUUGGGAUCCCAUAUAUGGCCUUGGGGCCAAUAAUGGGGACGAGCCGGGUGUCGCUUUGGGGUCAAUGUGGGGCAUUAAAGGUCAUUUGGGGACACUGUGGGGUCCCUUUAGGGUC